rnacentral:rRNA from 1 species
UACGGAGGGUGCAAGCGUUGUCCGGAUUAUUGGGUUUAAAGGGUGCGUAGGCGGCCCGUUAAGUCAGUGGUGAAAGCCUCCAGCUCAACUGGAGAACUGCCAUUGAUACUGGCGGGCUUGAGUACAGACGAGGUAGGCGGAAUUGAUUGUGUAGCGGUGAAAUGCAUAGAUACAAUCAAGAACACCGAUUGCGUAGGCAGCUUACUAGGCUGUAACUGACGCUGAGGCACGAAAGCGUGGGGAGCGAACAGG